AGUGAACGCUGGCGGUAGGCCUAACACAUGCAAGUCGAACGGCAGCACAGGAGAGCUUGCUCUCUGGGUGGCGAGUGGCGGACGGGUGAGGAAUACAUCGGAAUCUACUUUUUCGUGGGGGAUAACGUAGGGAAACUUACGCUAUUACCGCAUACGACCUACGGGUGAAAGCAGGGGAUCUUCGGACCUUGCGCGAUUGAAUGAGCCGAUGUCGGAUUAGCUAGUUGGCGGGGUAGGGGCCCACCAAGGCGACGAUCCGUAGCUGGUCUGAGAGGAUGAUCAGCCACACUGGAACUGAGACACGGUCCAGACUCCUACGGGAGGCAGCAGUGGGGAAUAUUGGACAAUGGGCGCAAGCCUGAUCCAGCCAUACCGCGUGGGUGAAGAAGGCCUUCGGGUUGUAAAGCCCUUUUGUUGGGAAAGAAAUCCAGCUGGUUAAUACCCGGUUGGGAUGACGGUACCCAAAGAACAAGCACCGGCUAACUUCGUGCCAGCCGCCGCCGUAA
rnacentral:rRNA from 1 species